rnacentral:tRNA from 2 species
GGAGGGAUGCCCGAGCGGACGAAGGGGCACGCCUGGAGAGCGUGUAGGCGGGUAACCGUCUCCGGGGUUCAAAUCCCCGUCCCUCCGCCA